AAUGUGGGAAGGAGUUCUGCCUGCCUGCCUGCCUUCUGUUCCUUUAACCACGUUUGGGUCUGACCCAAUGAAAUGGGUGUGGCCCUCUAAUAUGGGGGAAAGGGUUCAGUUCCUUCCUUCCAUGAUUCCUUCCUUCUCUUAUCCUGUCCUUCUGUGUUUCCUUCCUUCCACCUUUCCUUUCUUCUUUCCCUUUUUGCUUUGUUUACCUUGAGCCAGAGGUAUGCGGCUUCAUGUCUAACCUUUUGCUUCUUCUUUCUUGACCAGGACGUGAGAGUUCUCUGGAGCCACCCCUGCCGUGAUGGGAAACGAACCAGCUUCUAGUCGAUAUUAAGGCAUUUGGAAACCAAAGUGCAGGAAGGAAACCAGUCCUCUAGGAAAAAGGAUUCCUCUCAAGGGGCUGAUCCUGCUGAAUUCCUACAUUCACUUUGGAUUCUAGAGUAGAACCAUAGAGUUGGAAGAGACUGCAUGAGGCACCCAGUCCAGGCCUCUGCCGUGCAGGAAAAGUGCAAAGUACCCUGGACAGAUGAGUAUCUAGCCUCUGUUUAAAAGAUUCCAAAGGAGCCUCCACUACUUUUUGAGGCAGAGAGUUCCACUGCUGAACAGCUCUUACAGUCAGGAAGUUCUUCUUAAUGUUCAGAUGGAAUCUACUUUCCUGUAAUUUGAACCCAGUGCUGUGAGUAAUCAGAAAGGGAAAAACAAGAAUCAAGUGUCCAUAUUGGAAUUAAAUGUACAUAGCACAUAACUCUGUUGACAUGGAGGAGAAAGCAUAUAAAUGUAUUGCAUGUGGAAAGAGCUUCUCUCAUAAUUCAAAUCUACAUAGACAUCAAAGGACUCACAUUGGGGAGAAACCCUAUAACUGCCUGGAGUGUGGACAGAGCUUUCCUCAGAAGGCACACUUACAUACACAUCAAAGGACUCACACUGGGGAGAAACCCUAUAACUGCCUGGAGUGUGGACAGAGCUUUGCUCGUAGUUCAGGAAUACGUUCACAUCAAAGGAGUCACACUGGGGAGAAACCCUAUAAAUGCCUGGAGUGUGGACAGAGCUUCACUCGUAGUUCAGGACUACGUUCACAUCAAAGGACUCACACUGGGGAGAAACCCUAUAACUGCCUGGAGUGUGGACAGAGCUUUUCUCAUAGUACAAGACUACGUUCACAUCAAAGGACUCACAUUGGGGAGAAACCCUAUAACUGCCUGGAGUGUGGACAGAGCUUCACUCGUAGUUCAGGACUACGUUCACAUCAAAGGACUCACACUGGGGAGAAACCCUAUAACUGCCUGGAGUGUGGACAGAGCUUCGCUCGUAGUUCAGGACUACGUUCACAUCAAAGGACUCAUGCUGGGGAGAAACCCUAUAAAUGCCUGGAGUGUGGACAGAGCUUCAUUCGUAGUUCAGGACUACGUUCACAUCAAAGGACUCACACUGGGGAGAAACCCUAUAACUGCCUGGAGUGUGGACAGAGCUUCACUCGUAGUUCAGGACUACGUUCACAUCAAACGAGUCACACUGGGGAGAAACCCUAUAACUGCCUGGAGUGUGGACAGAGCUUUUCUCAUAGUACAAGACUACGUUCACAUCAAAGGACUCACAUUGGGGAGAAACCCUAUAACUGCCUGGAGUGUGGACAGAGCUUCACUCGUAGUUCAGGACUACGUUCACAUCAAAGGACUCAUGCUGGGGAGAAACCCUAUAAAUGCCUGGAGUGUGGACAGAGCUUCAUUCGUAGUUCAGGACUACGUUCACAUCAAAGGACUCACACUGGGGAGAAACCCUAUAACUGCCUGGAGUGUGGACAGAGCUUCGCUCGUAGUUCAGGACUACGUUCACAUCAAAGGACUCACACUGGGGAGAAACCCUAUAAAUGCCUGGAGUGUGGACAGAGCUUCACUCAGAGUUCAGCUCUACGUUCACAUCAAAGGACCCACACUGGGGAGAAACCCUAUAACUGCCUGGAGUGUGGACAGAGCUUCACUCAUAGUUCAAACCUACGUCAACAUCAAAGGACUCACACUGGGGAGAAACCAUAUAACUGCCUGGAGUGUGGACAGAGCUUUUCUCAUAGUACAGGACUACGUUCACAUCAAAGGACCCACACUGGGGAGAAACCCUAUAACUGCCUGGAGUGUGGACAGAGCUUCACUCAUAGUUCAAACCUACGUCAACAUCAAAGGACUCACACUGGGGAGAAACCCUAUAAAUGCCUGGAGUGUGGACAAAGCUUCAGGCAUGGUUCACGUCUACGUUCACAUCAACGUACUCACACUGGGGAGAAACCCUAUAAAUGCCUGGAGUGUGGACAGAGCUUCAUUCAGAGUUCAGGCCUACGUUCCCAUCAAAGGACCCACACUGGAGAGAAACCCUAUAAAUGUCUGGAUUGUGGACAGAGUUUCACUCAGAGUUCAGGCCUACGUUCACAUCAAAGGACGCACACUGGGGAGAAAGCCUAUAAAUGCCUGGAGUGUGGACAGAGCUUCACUCAGAGUUCAGGCCUACAUUCACAUCAAAGAACUCGCACUGGGGAGAAACCCUAUAAAUGCCUGGAGUGUGCACAGAGUUUUACUCAGAAGGGACACUUACAUACACAUCAAAGGACUCACACUGGGGAGAAACCCUAUAAUUGCCUGGAGUGUGGACAGAGCUUCACUCAGAAGGCAAGCUUACAUUCACAUCAAAGGAUUCACACUGGGGAGAAACUCUAUACAUGCCCGGAGUGCGGAAAGAGUUUCACUCAUAGUUCAGGCCUACGUACACAUCAAAGAACUCACACUGGGGAGAAACCCUAUACAUGUCUGGAGUGUGGACAGACCUUCACUCAGAAUUCAGGCCUACGUAGACAUCAAAGGACUCACACUGGGGAGAAACCCUAUAAAUGCCUGGAGUGUGGACAAAGCUUCACGCAUAGUUCACGUCUACGUUCACAUCAAAGAACUCACACUGGGGAGAAACCCUAUACAUGUCUGGAGUGUGGAGAGAGCUUCACUCGUAGUUCAGUUCUGCGUUCACAUGAAAGGACUCACACUGGGGAGAAACCCUAUACAUGUCUGGAGUGUGGACAGAGCUUCACUCGUAGUUCAGGGAUACGUUCACAUCAAAGAACUCACACUGGGGAGAAACCCUAUACAUGUCUGGAGUGUGGACAGAGCUUCACUCAUAGUUCAGGCCUACGUAAACAUCAAAGGACUCACACUGGGGAGAAACCCUAUAAAUGCCUGGAGUGUGGACAAAGCUUCACUCAGAGUUCAGGCCUACGUAAACAUCAAAGGACUCACACUGGGGAGAAACCCUAUAAAUGCCUGCAGUGUGGACAGAGCUUCACUCAGAAGGGAAAUUUACAUACACAUCAAAGGACUCACACUGGGGAGAAACCCUAUAACUGCCUGGAGUGUGGACAGAGCUUCACUCAGAAGGCAAGCUUACAUACACAUCAAAGGACUCACACCAGGGAGAAACCCUAUAACUGCCUGGAGUGUGGACAGGGCUUCACUCAUAGUUCAGGCCUACGUAGACAUCAAAGGACUCACACUGGGGAGAAACCCUAUAAAUGCCUGGAGUGUGGACAGAGCUUCAGUCAGAAGGGAAAUUUACAUACACAUCAAAGGACUCACACUGGGGAGAAACCCUAUAACUGCCUGGAGUGUGGACAGAGCUUCACUCAGAAGGCAAGCUUACAUACACAUCAAAGGACUCACACCAGGGAGAAACCCUAUAACUGCCUGGAGUGUGGACAGGGCUUCACUCAUAGUUCAGGCCUACGUAGACAUCAAAGGACUCACACUGGGGAGAAACCCUAUAAAUGCCUGGAGUGUGGACAGAGCUUCAGUCAGAAGGGAAAUUUACAUACACAUCAAAGGACUCACACUGGGGAGAAACCCUAUAACUGCCUGGAGUGUGGACAGAGCUUCACUCAGAAGGCAAGCUUACAUACACAUCAAAGGACUCACACCAGGGAGAAACCCUAUAACUGCCUGGAGUGUGGACAGGGCUUCACUCAUAGUUCAGGCCUACGUAGACAUCAAAGGACUCACACUGGGGAGAAACCCUAUAAAUGCCUGGAGUGUGGACAGAGCUUCACUCAGAAGGGAAAUUUACAUACACAUCAAAGGACUCACACUGGGGAGAAACCCUAUAACUGCCUGGAGUGUGGACAGAGCUUCACUCAGAAGGCAAGCUUACAUACACAUCAAAGGACUCACACCAGGGAGAAACCCUAUAACUGCCUGGAGUGUGGACAGGGCUUCACUCAUAGUUCAGGCCUACGUAGACAUCAAAGGACUCACACUGGGGAGAAACCCUAUAAAUGCCUGGAAUGUGGACAGAUAGAAUGAGGCUUUUAGUCAUGUAUCCAUGUCUGUUUGUUCAGUUGUGUGUCUAUGUAGGUAACUCGUUAGUCUGUUUACUUUAAUGUGUAGUUGAAGCAUUAUAUAUAAUUUCUGCCUUUUUGGUAUUGUUGCUUU